rnacentral:rRNA from 1 species
GAACGCUGGCGGCAGGCCUAACACAUGCAAGUCGAACGGUAACAGGAAGCAGCUUGCUGCUUCGCUGACGAGUGGCGGACGGGUGAGUAAUGUCUGGGAAACUGCCCGAUGGAGGGGGGAUAACUACUGGAAACGGUAGCUAAUACCGCAUAAUGUCGCAAGACCAAAGAGGGGGACCUUCGGGCCUCUUGCCAUCGGAUGUGCCCAGAUGGGAUUAGCUUGUUGGUGAGGUAACGGCUCACCAAGGCGACGAUCCCUAGCUGGUCUGAGAGGAUGACCAGCCACACUGGAACUGAGACACGGUCCAGACUCCUACGGGAGGCAGCAGUGGGGAAUAUUGCACAAUGGGCGCAAGCCUGAUGCAGCCAUGCCGCGUGUAUGAAGAAGGCCUUCGGGUUGUAAAGUACUUUCAGCGGGGAGGAAGGGGUUAAGGUUAAUAACCUUAGCCAUUGACGUUACCCGCAGAAGAAGCACCGGCUAACUCCGUGCCAGCAGCGGC